UACGUAGGGUGCAAGCGUUACUCGGAAUUACUGGGCGUAAAGCGUGCGCAGGCGGUUUUGUAAGUCUGACGUGAAAUCCCCGGGCUUAACCUGGGAAUUGCGUUGGAGACUGCAAGGCUGGAGUCUGGCAGAGGGGGGUAGAAUUCCACGUGUAGCAGUGAAAUGCGUAGAUAUGUGGAGGAACACCGAUGGCGAAGGCAGCCCCCUGGGUCAAAACUGACGCUCAUGCACGAAAGCGUGGGGAGCAAACAGG
rnacentral:rRNA from 1 species